rnacentral:misc_RNA from 1 species
UUCUUCCAGCAGGCUUAUCUUUGAGACAAGCAUAUGACUACUGGCAGGAUCAACCAGGUAGCAUCUUUUUGCCGCCGGCACCGUAUGAGCGAGGACAAUUACUAUCCUCCCGUCAACACAAGGCACGUCAGGCUUUCGUAAGGGACAAUUGAUUCGGGCAAAAAGGGACAAAGUCCCCGACCGAUCUUUGCUUCUACAUACAAGACUUCGAGCAACCCUUGGGCGUCCAAUGCCUGCUAGCUAAAUAAGAAAAGCAAGAGCAGACGUCCAUGGGUGCUAACUUGUCUACGUCGCACAAAACCUUUUAGCACGAGAUAGAGUAUGGAUCGUGGGACUAGAGAAUUCCGUCAAAAUAGGUAUGCUGCACAGGGGGCCAAGGCAGUCCAAGGUAAAAGAUUUAGCACUCAAACAGAAUUGAACAGGUGUGAACUAGGGAUUGUCGCUGCCAGGGCAGGGAACCAACCAACCGGAACAUACCAAUCACCACUCACACGCCCAUAA